rnacentral:rRNA from 1 species
GAUGAACGCUGGCGGCGUGCCUAAUACAUGCAAGUCGAGCGAACGGACGAGAAGCUUGCUUCUCUGAUGUUAGCGGCGGACGGGUGAGUAACACGUGGAUAACCUACCUAUAAGACUGGGAUAACUUCGGGAAACCGGAGCUAAUACCGGAUGAUAUUUUGAACCGCAUGGUUCAAAAGUGAAAGACGGUCUUGCUGUCACUUAUAGAUGGAUCCGCGCUGCAUUAGCUAGUUGGUAAGGUAACGGCUUACCAAGGCAACGAUGCAUAGCCGACCUGAGAGGGUGAUCGGCCACACGGGAACUGAGACACGGUCCAGACCCCUAGGGGAGGCAGCAGUGGGGAAUCUUCCGCAAUGGGCGAAAGCCUGACGGAGCAACGCCGCGGGAGUGAUGAAGGUCUUCGGAUCGUAAAACUCUGUUAUUAGGGAAAAACAUUUGUGUAAGUAACUGUGCACAUUUUGACGGUACCUAAUCAAAAAGCCACGGCUAACUACGU